rnacentral:tRNA from 1 species
GCCCCGAUAGCUCAGCCUGGUAGAGCACAUGCCUUUUAAGCAUUGGGUCGCAGGUUCGAAUCCUGCUCGGGGCA